rnacentral:tRNA from 1 species
GCGGGUGUAGUUCAAUGGCAGAACAGCAGCUUCCCAAGCUGCUAGUGCGAGUUCGAUUCUCGUCACCCGCUCCA